CCUACGGGAGGCAGCAGUGGGGAAUUUUGGACAAUGGGCGCAAGCCUGAUCCAGCCAUGCCGCGUGUGGGAAGAAGGCCUGCGGGUUGUAAAGCACUUUCAGUGGGGAGGAAGGCCUCAAUAUUAAUACUAUUGAGGAUUGACGUUACCCACAGAAGAAGCACCGGCUAACUCUGUGCCAGCAGCCGCGGUAAUACAGAGGGUGCAAGCGUUAAUCGGAAUUACUGGGCGUAAAGGGUGCGUAGGUGGUUUUUUAAGUCAGAUGUGAAAUCCCUGGGCUCAACCUAGGAAUUGCAUUUGAUACUGAAUAACUUGAGUAUGGUAGAGGGAAGUGGAAUUUCCAGUGUAGCGGUGAAAUGCGUAGAUAUUGGAAGGAACAUCAGUGGCGAAGGCGACUUCCUGGACCAUUACUGACACUGAGGCACGAAAGCGUGGGGAGCGAACAGGAUUAGAUACCCUGGUAGUCCACGCCGUAAACGAUGAGAACUAGAUGUUAGGGGGCUUAGACCUUUUAGUAUCGCAGCAAACGCGUUAAGUUCUCCGCCUGGGGAGUACGGCCGCAAGGUUAAAACUCAAAUGAAUUGACGG
rnacentral:rRNA from 1 species